GGGUUAUUAAAAAUUCCUGACUUGAAAUCGGGAUUCGGAUUUUUUCCAUAACUCU
rnacentral:tRNA from 1 species